GAUCAUGGCUCAGGAUGAACGCUAGCUACAGGCCUAACACAUGCAAGUCGAGGGGCAGCAGAUCGAAAGCUUGCUUUGAUGCUGGCGACCGGCGAAUGGGUGAGUCACGCGUGUCCAACCUGCCCUGUGCCCGGGGAUAGCCCUUGGAAAUGAGGAUUAACACCCGAUAGGUGGCGCUUCCGCAUGGCGGCGCCAUGAAACCGACACAGGAUGGGGACGCGUCGGAUUAGCUUGACGGCGGGGCGACGGCCCACCGUGGCGACGAUCCGCAGGGGUUCUGAGAGGAAGGUCCCCCCACACUGGCACUGAGACACGGGCCAGACUCCUACGGGAGGCGGCAGUGAGGAAUAUUGGUCAAUGGCCGAGAGGCUGAACCAGCCAAGUAAGCGUGCAGGACGACGGCCCUACGGGUUGUAAACUGCUUUUGCGGGAGGAUAAAUGACACUACGUGUAGUGUUUUGCAGGUAUCCCGUGAAUAAGGACCGGCUAAUUCCGUGCCAGCCGCCGC
rnacentral:rRNA from 1 species